GACGGAGGAUGCAAGCGUUAUCCGGAAUGAUUGGGCGUAAAGCGUCCGCAGGUGGCAAUGUAAGUCUGCUGUUAAAGAGUCUAGCUCAACUAGAUAAAAGCAGUGGAAACUACAUAGCUAGAGUACGUUCGGGGCAGAGGGAAUUCCUGGUGUAGCGGUGAAAUGCGUAGAGAUCAGGAAGAACACCGGUGGCGAAAGCGCUCUGCUAGGCCGCAACUGACACUGAGGGACGAAAGCUAGGGGAGCGAAUGGG
rnacentral:rRNA from 1 species